rnacentral:lncRNA from 1 species
UUUAAACCAGUUCUGCAAUUCACUUAUUUUUCUUUAAGCAAUCUGCCUCCUCUGGAAUUUUUCUUUAAAAUUACCUUUCUGUGUUUCAAUACAACUAGGCAGUCUGUUUUCUCUUCUGAACUCAUUUCUAAACAGUUUUCUAAGUCUGCAGCAUACCUUUUCUCAAAAACCUUCUAUACUAGUUAUUCUCUAAAGUCAGCAUUCUUAAUUAAUUCGCGUUAACCCAGUGCCUUAAUCUAUGAUAAUUGUAUUCGGGUGGCCUAAUAUAGACUUUUUGUCUAAAUAUAUGUGUUCAACCAGUCCGCUUACUGCUUAAUCUAAUUUAAGACCAAACCAGUAUUUGCAAUGGCAUGCUAAACUAUAUGACUUUCUACUUUCAGGGGUUUAUUUGAGUUUUACUUACUUGUUUGCUCUUCCUUUAUUUGAUACCUGUUUUUGAAUGUCGAACUAGUAUUUUGUCAUUUAAACUCCACAAAAACCCCAUCCCUUUC